UUAAGCGACUAAGCGUACACGGUGGAUGCCCUGGCAGUCAGAGGCGAUGAAGGGCGUGCUAAUCUGCGAUAAGCGCCGGUAAGGUGAUAUGAACCGUUAUAACCGGCGAUACCCGAAUGGGGAAACCCAGUGUGACUCGUCACACUAUCAUUAACUGAAUCCAUAGGUUAAUGAGGCGAACCGGGGGAACUGAAACAUCUAAGUACCCCGAGGAAAAGAAAUCAACCGAGAUUCCCCCAGUAGCGGCGAGCGAACGGGGAGGAGCCCAGAGCCUGAAUCAGCAUGUGUGUUAGUGGAAGCGUCUGGAAAGGCGCGCGAUACAGGGUGACAGCCCCGUACACAAAAGCGCAUGUGCUGUGAGCUCGAUGAGUAGGGCGGGACACGUGGUAUCCUGUCUGAAUAUGGGGGGACCAUCCUCCAAGGCUAAAUACUCCUGACUGACCGAUAGUGAACCAGUACCGUGAGGGAAAGGCGAAAAGAACCCCGGCGAGGGGAGUGAAAAAGAACCUGAAACCGUGUACGUACAAGCAGUGGGAGCCCCACCACUAAGCCAGUGGUGAACUCCACAUACGCAUCCUUUGCUGAGGAUACGGUUAACGGAGCGAAAGCGACGUUCAACCUCAAAAGAAGCAGAGGGGGCUUAGUGGUGGGGUGACUGCGUACCUUUUGUAUAAUGGGUCAGCGACUUAUAUUCUGUAGCAAGGUUAACCGUAUAGGGGAGCCGUAGGGAAACCGAGUCUUAACCGGGCGUUAAGUUGCAGGGUAUAGACCCGAAACCCGGUGAUCUAGCCAUGGGCAGGUUGAAGGUUGGGUAACACUAACUGGAGGACCGAACCGACUAAUGUUGAAAAAUUAGCGGAUGACCUGUGGCUGGGGGUGAAAGGCCAAUCAAACCGGGAGAUAGCUGGUUCUCCCCGAAAGCUAUUUAGGUAGCGCCUCGUGAAUUCAUCUCCGGGGGUAGAGCACUGUUUCGGCUAGGGGGCCAUCCCGGCUUACCAACCCGAUGCAAACUGCGAAUACCGGAGAAUGUUAUCACGGGAGACACACGGCGGGUGCUAACGUCCGUCGUGAAGAGGGAAACAACCCAGACCGCCAGCUAAGGUCCCAAAGUCAUGGUUAAGUGGGAAACGAUGUGGGAAGGCCCAGACAGCCAGGAUGUUGGCUUAGAAGCAGCCAUCAUUUAAAGAAAGCGUAAUAGCUCACUGGUCGAGUCGGCCUGCGCGGAAGAUGUAACGGGGCUAAACCAUGCACCGAAGCUGCGGCAGCGACGUUUAUGCGUUGUUGGGUAGGGGAGCGUUCUGUAAGCCUGCGAAGGUGGCCUGUGAGGGUUGCUGGAGGUAUCAGAAGUGCGAAUGCUGACAUAAGUAACGAUAAAGCGGGUGAAAAGCCCGCUCGCCGGAAGACCAAGGGUUCCUGUCCAACGUUAAUCGGGGCAGGGUGAGUCGACCCCUAAGGCGAGGCCGAAAGGCGUAGUCGAUGGGAAACGGGUUAAUAUUCCCGUACUUGGUGUUACUGCGAAGGGGGGACGGAGAAGGCUAUGUUGGCCGGGCGACGGUUGUCCCGGUUUAAGCGUGUAGGCUGGUUUUCCAGGCAAAUCCGGAAAAUCAAGGCUGAGGCGUGACGACGAGGCACUACGGUGCUGAAGCAACAAAUGCCCUGCUUCCAGGAAAAGCCUCUAAGCAUCAGGUAACAUCAAAUCGUACCCCAAACCGACACAGGUGGUCAGGUAGAGAAUACCAAGGCGCUUGAGAGAACUCGGGUGAAGGAACUAGGCAAAAUGGUGCCGUAACUUCGGGAGAAGGCACGCUGACAUGUAGGUGAAGUGAUUUACUCAUGGAGCUGAAGUCAGUCGAAGAUACCAGCUGGCUGCAACUGUUUAUUAAAAACACAGCACUGUGCAAACACGAAAGUGGACGUAUACGGUGUGACGCCUGCCCGGUGCCGGAAGGUUAAUUGAUGGGGUCAGCGCAAGCGAAGCUCCUGAUCGAAGCCCCGGUAAACGGCGGCCGUAACUAUAACGGUCCUAAGGUAGCGAAAUUCCUUGUCGGGUAAGUUCCGACCUGCACGAAUGGCGUAAUGAUGGCCAGGCUGUCUCCACCCGAGACUCAGUGAAAUUGAACUCGCUGUGAAGAUGCAGUGUACCCGCGGCAAGACGGAAAGACCCCGUGAACCUUUACUAUAGCUUGACACUGAACAUUGAGCCUUGAUGUGUAGGAUAGGUGGGAGGCUUUGAAGCGUGGACGCCAGUCUGCGUGGAGCCGACCUUGAAAUACCACCCUUUAAUGUUUGAUGUUCUAACGUGGACCCGUUACCCGGGUUGCGGACAGUGUCUGGUGGGUAGUUUGACUGGGGCGGUCUCCUCCUAAAGAGUAACGGAGGAGCACGAAGGUUGGCUAAUCCUGGUCGGACAUCAGGAGGUUAGUGCAAUGGCAUAAGCCAGCUUGACUGCGAGCGUGACGGCGCGAGCAGGUGCGAAAGCAGGUCAUAGUGAUCCGGUGGUUCUGAAUGGAAGGGCCAUCGCUCAACGGAUAAAAGGUACUCCGGGGAUAACAGGCUGAUACCGCCCAAGAGUUCAUAUCGACGGCGGUGUUUGGCACCUCGAUGUCGGCUCAUCACAUCCUGGGGCUGAAGUAGGUCCCAAGGGUAUGGCUGUUCGCCAUUUAAAGUGGUACGCGAGCUGGGUUUAGAACGUCGUGAGACAGUUCGGUCCCUAUCUGCCGUGGGCGCUGGAGAACUGAGGGGGGCUGCUCCUAGUACGAGAGGACCGGAGUGGACGCAUCACUGGUGUUCGGGUUGUCAUGCCAAUGGCACUGCCCGGUAGCUAAAUGCGGAAGAGAUAAGUGCUGAAAGCAUCUAAGCACGAAACUUGCCCCGAGAUGAGUUCUCCCUGAGACUUUAGGUCUCCUGAAGGAACGUUGAAGACGACGACGUUGAUAGGCCGGGUGUGUAAGCGCAGCGAUGCGUUGAGCUAACCGGUACUAAUGAACCGUGAGGCUUAACCUU
rnacentral:rRNA from 1 species